UACGAAGGGGGCUAGCGUUGCUCGGAAUCACUGGGCGUAAAGCGCACGUAGGCGGCUUUCUAAGUCAGGGGUGAAAUCCUGAGCUCAACUCCAGAACUGCCUUUGAUACUGGAGAGCUUGAGUCCGGAAGAGGUGAGUGGAACUCCGAGUGUAGAGGUGAAAUUCGUAGAUAUUCGGAAGAACACCAGUGGCGAAGGCGGCUCACUGGUCCGGUACUGACGCUGAUGUGCGAAAGCGUGGGGAGCAAACAGG
rnacentral:rRNA from 1 species